rnacentral:snoRNA from 1 species
AUAAACUUCUAUUGAUGACAUAUAGUUCAGUUGAAUGUAACUAUGAUAACUAAACUAUGAAUAAAAUGGUCUUUCACCCCUAUCUGAAAAUUUUU